GAUGAACGCUGGCGGCGUGCCUAAUACAUGCAAGUCGAGCGAACAGACGAUGCGUUUGCUCCUCUCUCGUUUGCGGCGCACGGGUGAGUCACAUGUGGAUCACCUCCUUAUCAUACUGGUAUCAUUUCGGGACUCCGGAGCUAACCCCGUAUAAUCUAUUGCUCCGCAUGGUUCAUUAGUGAAUGACGGCUUUUCUGUCACUUCUCGAUGGUUCUGCGCUGUUUGAGCUAGUUGGUAGGGUAACGGCGUACCAAGGCAACGAUGCGUAGCCGACCGGAGAGAGGGAUAGGCCACACGGGAAGGGAGACACGGACAAGACUCCUAAGGGAGGCAGCAGUAGGGAAUGUUACGCAAUGGGCGAGAGCAUGACGGAGCAACGCCGAGUGAGAGAUGAAGGUCUUCGGAUCGUAAAAAUCUGUUAUGAGGGAAGAACAAAUGUGGAAGGAGAUAUGGACGGAGUGACGGUAACGAAUCAGAAAGCAACGGCUAACUACGUG
rnacentral:rRNA from 1 species